UGUGUGACGUGCCGCUACCGCGCCGGCUCCUUUCCCCUAGCUGAGGAGGUACCUGAAACCAAAACUGAAAACUGUAAGCACAAAGCUUAGUGAGUUCCCCCAUAAUACCACAUACCAUGCAACAUAUAACAACCAUUGUUCAGCUAGGAGUUACGGGCCUUGCCCACACUCGGGAAGAUACGGGCCCUGCCCACACUUCGCUAGCCGGGAGAUACGGGCCUCGCCCACACUUGUGAAGAUACGGGCCCUGCCCACACUUCGCUAUCUGGGAGAUACGGGCCUAGCCCACACUCUAACCUCGGAGAGAUACGGGCCCUGCCCACACUCAACCGCUAACUCAUAACAUACAAGUAUCACGCAGACAACAAGUAUUAGCAAUUCUAUCAUAUUAACACAUAUAUCAUACUUGACUAAACCCAGAGAUACGGGCUCGGCCCACACUCUAGUACUAACAUCUCGUUAGCACGGGUCGGCCUUGGGGCCUUGGACCCGUUCCUACUGGAAAGGAAACUCACCUCGAAAUAGUUGCUGGUCUGUGUGGGAAUUGAUCACCUACUACUGCUGCUGCUGCUCCGGAAACCCUCCGGCUGCAAUUCCCACAAUAUACUCAAUCAAACACUGCUCACUGACCUUUGGGUAAAAUGACCAUUUUACCCCUGACCUUGCCCUAAGUGAAAGUCAGAGUCAACUUUUCAGUUGACCUCGACUCGCCGAGUUGGCUUUCCAACUCGCCGAGUCCCUACGCAAACGACUGUCCUGAAUCCUGAUCCUACUCGCCGAGUUAGGCGACGACUCGACGGUUUCACCUUCUUAACCAAUAUUCAAGUCCUUCAUCCUACUCGCCGAGUUGUAUGAACAACUCGUCGAGUCUGUUCUUGAUCUAAGGAGAUUGCCUUGAACUCGCCGAGUCAGGGCAUUGACUCGCCGAGUACCUCCAUAGAUGAGUUAAGCUUCCGACUCACUGAGUCACACCCCGUGACUCACUGCUCACUCGAUACUAUGAAAAAGGGGACAAACUCGGAGACUCGUGAACAGACUCGCCGAGUCAUAUGAACGACUCGUCGAGUCGUUGCCAUGCACCUACUGAAUACACGGAUUUGUUUGAUUCCAGUCCAUGCCAUUCAUAGAUCUGGACUUCUAGGACACGAAUCACACGUAAAGUUUCCAACUUUACGUAUGGAUAUUCACCAAUAUGGAUUUUAGGGCUCAAAAUGUCUCAAAAGGGUAGAUCUAGGGCUAACAAGCAACAUGGGGCCAAAAAGCUAACAGAUCUGAGCCCCUGGAGCUCAAUCUUGCCUAGAUCCAAAGGCCAAACGCCUUAUUACAACAUACAAUGCACAUACAAGCUUGGGGAUUUGACCAAGAAGGACCCAAAUGAAGUUUUAAGCAUGGAAUCAAGGGGAAAACGAGUUAUACCUCAAAGGAACUGCUGGAAGAACACAAAUAACGCUUGGAUGGCUUCCCUUCUUCUGGAUCUACUUCCUUCCUCUUUCAAAGCCUUCAAAAACACACACACUAACCUCAAACUCUCAAAGAAUAGCUUAGAACGAGAGAUACAUGGCUUUAAGGGUCAAUGGGGGCCGGCUUGGGGCUGAUAAGUCGUUUAAAUAGGGUGCAAACCCCUGAAACUUAGGGUUUCAUCCAACAGCUGUGACUCGCCGAGUCCAGGAUAUGGACUCGCCGAGUCACCAACUUAAACGUGUCACGGGUCCUGCAUCCGCUCGGCGAGUCGGACCUAUGACUCGCCGAGUCCAAGGCUAAAAGAAAGGAAAUACUCAAAUAACAUUUACGUACCAGGAACUGGGUGCUACAAAUAUGAUUAAGGUAAGUUACCAUAAGAUAAAUAUGAAGAAAUCCCGAAUCUGGCCAUUCCUGGCGCUUGGACUCGCCGAGUGCACAAAGGGACUCGCCGAGUCCAUUACUCAGAAACACAAAAAUCGAAUUUUGCAGUCAUGUUUCAGACAAUUAAGCAACAAUUUAAUGAAAACCAAGCUAGGCUCUGAUACCACUGAUGGGUUUUAGCCAUAAGAACUUUCCUAUGUGCGCAUGCAAAACCCUAAUGCUUGGAUCUAGGCUUUCUAAUUAAACAUGCUUUGAAUCCAAGACUUCUAAUGACUAUUUAAGAAUAAGAACAAUUAUAAAACAUAUCUAGAAUCAUAUCUUUGAAUUCCUUGUUGAUCUUGUUGUCUUGGAGCUUCUACAGUCACAAUUGUCACUCCUCUAAUGGCUUACAAACACCAAGUAGCAAGGAGGAUGAUUUGGGAGAGAGGAGAGGGGAGGAAAUCGGCCAGGGUUUCUUUGCUUUUGAAGAAGUGUCGAUUUCCCUUAGCCAUGGGAUCUAUUUAUACUUGUAGACUCCUUAAGGGUUACAACCUAAACCCUAAUUGGAUAAUCUUCUCUAAAGGCUAUCCAAAUCCUUUCCAUAGAUAUCCCCUUGGACGAUUUGAAGCUAUCCUAGCUUCUAGAAUCCGUCCAUUGUAUAUCUAUAUGGAUUUACAGUCCAAAGUUUAACUAUCAAACAAUUGACAGUUUAUACCCUCUUAUUUAAUUAAUCUCUUUAAGUCACCAAAUUAAUUCCAAUUAAUUCUAUGACUUAUAUUAAUCAAAUAACAAAAUAAUAUUUACUCUCUCUUAAUAAAUCAUCCUAUCAAGUUGCUAUGGUGAAGGCAACCCAAAAGGACUAUGCACAACCGGGUCAAAUACUUGCCUAAUAUAGUUGCAGCCUUAGACACUAUUCCAACACCCUUCUCUCUCUAUAGCCUCUCCAAUUGUUUGUGGUAUUUGUGAGCCAUUAGAGGCACUACACUUGUGGUGUUUGCUUUCAAGACUUAGGGUUUGAAGAUUUAAGCUUUUAUUGCAAUAUAACAACAAGAGGUAUGUGAUCUAACCUUAUAUAUGAAUUUUGAAAAUAGCAAGCUACAUUAGGGUUGUAUUCAUGUGUUCAUAAUGUUGUGUAUCUAAUAGUGAAAACAUAGAUCCAAAUCUAGGGUUGCAUGCACACAUAGGAUUUUUUGUAUAAAACCCAUCAGUGGUAUUAAAGCCUUUGGUUAACUUGUUUUCAAUUAGUAUUAUACAAUUAUAUGAACUUGACAUAUUAGGGUUUAUAGCCAAUAAACCCUAGGAGGCAUGGAAUUUCUAGAUUAGGGUUUCCUAACCCUAAUUUGCGAAAAUUGUGAAAAGGUUUUUUGAAUCCUUUCCAUUAAUCCAAGAUUUGGAAAUCUAGGGUUUGCAAACCCUAAGAUUUCGAGAUUAGCCUCCUUCCCCAAGAUAAGAUCCUAAAUUUUAGGGAUUUGGAUAAUCCCAUAUCUUGUAAUUAUCUUUUAAUUUUUAAAUAUGGUAAUUAAAGAUUUUGAAUUAUCCCUUCCCAUUAUUUUCGAAAUUUAGAGGGAUAAAAUGGAUUAGGGUAAGUUAAUUGUUUAAAUAGUAAUUAUCCUUUAAGAUUUAAUAAUCCCUUAUGAUUUAAUAAUUUAAAUUAAUAGUUUAAUUUGAGAUAAUUAUUAAAUCAAGAGUUUUAAUAUUUAAAAUUUUAAUUUAAAUGGUAUUAAAUUUCAAAAAUUUUAAAUUGAAGAUUAAAACCCUAGUAUUUUGAAAUCUUUAAAAUACACCCUAUACUAUUGUAUUAUUACAAGCUUAAUGAAUAUAUAUAUAUAAUUAAAAUGCUAGUCUUACCGUUAGUAGGCCUCAUUCACGAAGCCGGUCUAUAAGGUGGGUAUACGGUUGCUGCCUAUAAAAUGGCGCUUAAUGGGUGUACACUCACACCUACCGCUUGCUUGCCUGGUGGAGGGUCGUUAGCCGAACGGGUAGGAUAGGGAAAUCCUCUCUUCAUUAAUAAGUAUAAUGAAUCCAUAUAAAGUAACUAAACGUUUUUACAAAAUUUCCAAUCCUAGUUACUUUAGGAAAAAGUGAAUUGAUGCAAUCCCAUGAAAUUACACUUUACACUCUUGCUAAGAUGUUAGUGGAGCGUGUGUAGUUUACCGACACACUAAUUGGUUCUAAGAAAAGGUGGCAAAGGGUGAUUCAUUGUUUGUCAUAGUUCGAUGGAGCGUGUGUGGUUUACCGGCACAUCGAGUAGGUGAUUGUAACAAUGAAGGCACCAUGUAGAUUUGCAUGGUUAUUCACACCCACUUUGUGAUCCUCGGCAUCUUAGUCACAAACGAGAGGGGCAUAUCGAGAUUUAAACAUGCCAUUGAAACACUACUAGAAACCAGAGCUUCUGUGACGGAAUUAGCGACGGAACACUUCUGUAGCUAAUUAGCGUAGGUUUUACGAGGGAUCAGCUAUGGAUUUUAAAAAAUCCUUCAACUAACUUAAUUUCAGAAAUUUAGUGAGGGGUUAUCGAGGGCUUAGCGAGUGAUUUAUCUCACUUUUUAGACAAAAAGAAAUCCCUUGCUAAACUGUGGUAAGUUAAAGGUUUUUAGCGAGGGAACAACCAGGGAUUUGUUAAAAACAUGAGAUUUGUUUCUUGGGCCUCACCAAUCGAUCGCUGAAAGGCCCAUGCUUUUUUUUCUUUCAUUCGGAGCUCUUUUCUUUUUUCCUUCCAUCGUUUUAAUUCCAUUCCGUCUAAAAGCCCUAAACACGAUUUCCUCCCGAAACCCUAAAUCGCAAUGCGUUGACUCAAUUCCUACCUCCGCCCUGAAAAUCACCUCCACCACCGUCUACCUGCUCUCCUCUCUUACCUGCAUCGCCUCUCAUUGACGUUUACUUGAAGCAACACCAAAGAACAUCCUCGUGGCUUUCCUCUCGGGCUGUCUCCCUUCCUCAUUGACUUGUGGUUUCCUGCCAACGUCGUUUGAUCUGUUGGUUGCUAGAAAAUUGUGGUGGUCAUCCCAUCCAAGCUCUUGUUCUUACAAAUUUGAUUAACUUUGAGGUUAUUUUGAACUUUUGUGGAUGAAAUGCAUAAUUUUAGGCCACUGUUAUGUGUUAUAUGUCUUAGAUGAUAGUACUAGCUGUGAAUUGAUGUUACAAUUGAUGGAAUUUAAUUAAAUUUUAGGAAAUUUUGGAUGACAUUGCUAUGAAUAUAAUUUGGGUGCUGAAGAAGAAGGUAGUAAUGUGCCACUUAAAAGUCUAUCUCCUUUCAAUUGAAUUCUUAAUUCUAUCGAUCAAAAUAAUAGAGUUAUAUAGCUUAAUACUUUACAUGAUUAGAGUUAGACAUUUGUUU
rnacentral:lncRNA from 1 species